CUCCUCUCAGGACGGAACCUGGAGAGUUUCCAGUACUCUACCAGCCUCACCUACAGGAGGAAGAGUCAAGCAGAGGCCUACCCAUUCCAUUCCUAGCUUGAACAGUGGAUAGCUAGUGGAAGGCAAUCUGCUACAAGU